rnacentral:rRNA from 1 species
UACGGAGGGUGCAAGCGUUUGUCCGGAUUUAUUGGGUUUAAAGGGUGCGUAGGCGGUUUAGUAAGUCAGUGUUUAAAGUCAAUAGCUCAACUAUUGGUAUGGCAUUGAUACUGCUAGACUUGAGUAAAGUUGAGGUGGGCGGAAUUUAUGGUGUAGCGGUGAAAUGCAUAGAUACCAUAAAGAACACCGAUUGCGAAGGCAGCUCACUAAGCUUUAACUGACGCUGAGGCACGAAAGCGUGGGGAUCAAACAGG